rnacentral:rRNA from 1 species
AUGCCAAAAAUAUUUCUGCACGAUGGAAAGUAUGUUACAUUGGUCGAUAUGGUGCUAGCACUCCACAAGGGAACCAUAGAAGAGUUUAAUAUAUCAGGUAACAAAAGUUACCAUGAUGAGUUUGCUAGGUGGAUGCUCAUGCUGUCAAGGAGAUCACCAAGAUCAAUUAUAAUCGAGUUGGACUCAUUGCCGGAGUAUAGGAUUCCCUCAUGUCUAUUUUCUAUCGGCAAUUUGAAGAUUCUGCACAUGGAAAACUGCACCAUCUUGUUGCCCUGGGUAUUCCAAGGUUUCAAGAGACUAACUCACCUCAGCCUAAAACUUUUCUCCUCCACAGACAUGGACAUCCAAAAUCUGAUCUCGUUCUGCCCCGUACUCACUGAUUUGAGAUUAGUUUCUUUUGAGGGCAUCAAGUGCCUUAACAUGCAACAUCCUAAACUAAAACAUCUAGAUGUUGAUGGGGGCUUUUAA